CUAUAAUCUCAGUGAUUUGGGAGGCCAAGGUGGGAGGAUUGCUAGAGUCUAGGAGUUCAAGACCAGCCUUGGCAACAUUGUGAGACCUUGUCUCUACAACUAUUUAAAAAUCAGCUGGGUGUGGCGGCACAUGCCUGUGGUCUCAGCUACUUGGGAUGCUGAGGUGGGAGGCUCGCUUGAGCUCAGGAGGUGGAGGCUACAGUGAACCAUGAAUGUACCACUGCACUCCAGCCUUAGUGACAGAGCAGGAACCCAUGUCAAAAAGGAG
rnacentral:lncRNA from 1 species